GGCCUACCAUGGUGGUAACGGGUAACGGGGUGUUAGGGCACGACACCGGAGAGGGAGCCUGAGAAACGGCUACCACAUCCAAGGAUGGCAGCAGGCGCGCAAAUUACCCAAUCCCGACACGGGGAGGUAGUGACAAUAAAUAACAAUACGGGGUCCUUACGGGUUUCGUAAUUGGAAUGAGUACAAUUUAAAUCUCUUAACGAGGAACAAUUGGAGGGCAAGUCUGGUGCCAGCAGCCGCGGUAAUUCCAGCUCCAAUAGCGUAUAUUAAAGUUGUUGCAGUUAAAAAGCUCGUAGUUGAAUUUCGGGAUUAGUACGCUGGUCGUGCCUUCGGUAUGUACUGGUGUUACUGGUUCCUACCUUCUGACGAACCGUCAUGUCAUUAAUUUAGUGUGGCGGGGAAUCAGGACUGUUACUUUGAAAAAAUUAGAGUGUUUAAAGCAGGCUCGCGCUUGAAUACAUUAGCAUGGAAUAAUGAAAUAGGACGUUCGAUCCUAUUUUGUUGGUUUCUAGGAUUGACGUAAUGAUUAAUAGGGAUAGUUGGGGGCAUUAGUAUUCAAUUGUCAGAGGUGAAAUUCUUGGAUUUAUUGAAGACUAACUACUGCGAAAGCAUUUGCCAAGGAUGUUUUCAUUAAUCAAGAACGAAAGUUAGGGGAUCGAAGACGAUCAGAUACCGUCGUAGUCUUAACCAUAAACUAUGCCGACUAGGGAUCGGAUGAUGUUAUUUUUAAUGACUCAUUCGGCGCCUUACGGGAAACCAAAGUGUUUGGGUUC
rnacentral:rRNA from 1 species